GAUGACUUGGAAAGGCUGCACAGUAUCCCUUAACUCGCUGCUGAUAACACGGAAACCAAAGACGAAGAUGCGAGUGACAGUGUGUUUGAUGAUGGUAGUGAUGGCGGCUGCUUAUCCCGAUCAUUCACGAGGUAACGGAGGACACCACCAGCAGAAUUUCUUGACCUCCGCUUUGUCAGGUGCAGCUCAAGGUGUCCUGGGGGGGAUACUCUAUGGCAGUGACCCUUACCACAACCACGGCUACCGCGAUCACCACCACGGCUACAACAACCACCACCACGGCUACAACAACCACCACCACGGCUACAACAACCACCACCACGGCUACAACAACCACCACCACCAUGGCUACAAUAACCACUACCAUCAUCCCUACCACCACAACCACUAUCCAAGUUAUGGUUACUUUGGAUAAAUUUGUCAUUUUCACACGUAUUAUGCAGACGUGUAAACAAAGAGGGCUAAGGAUUCUGUUAGCUUCCCUUGAGUUGAUUGAUAUAGCAAAGUUUUCUAUUAUUCAAUAUUUAUUCACGUCAUUGUAUCAAAUAUUCACUUAAGUUUAUUUAUGUUUUGCAAUAUUCAUCAAUUCUCAAGGUUUAGAUAAUAUAUACACGUGAGAUAAACACCUGAUCUUUGACUCACCUGAACUAUAAGUUUUCAUUUUAUUUUUUGGUUAAUUUUCUUAUGGGUGUCUUUUAAUAUAUCUCACCCGAAACAAUGUGCUCACUCUGUUCCUAUAAAUGUACUUUAUGAUUACUAAUUGCACUACUUUACUGUAAUUAUCUGAACUAAUGGACAGUCUGUGGGUUAAAACCGUACCACUGUAUCACCCUAUAACCUGUACAUCAUAUCAAACUAUGUACUUGUAUUGACAUUUCUGAUACAGUUACCACCUGGAAAUUACUGUAAACAUAUAGUGAUCUUUCUUAAUAAACCUUGUGUUCGUA